GGGAAUCUUCCGCAAUGGACGAAAGUCUGACGGAGCAACGCCGCGUGAGUGAUGAAGGUUUUCGGAUCGUAAAGCUCUGUUGUUAGGGAAGAACAAGUGCGAGAGUAACUGCUCGCACCUUGACGGUACCUAACCAGAAAGCCACGGCUAACUACGUGCCAGCAGCCGCGGUAAUACGUAGGUGGCAAGCGUUGUCCGGAAUUAUUGGGCGUAAAGGGCUCGCAGGCGGUUUCUUAAGUCUGAUGUGAAAGCCCCCGGCUCAACCGGGGAGGGUCAUUGGAAACUGGGAAACUUGAGUGCAGAAGAGGAGAGUGGAAUUCCACGUGUAGCGGUGAAAUGCGUAGAGAUGUGGAGGAACACCAGUGGCGAAGGCGACUCUCUGGUCUGUAACUGACGCUGAGGAGCGAAAGCGUGGGGAGCGAACAGGAUUAGAUACCCUGGUAGUCCACGCCGUAAACGAUGAGUGCUAAGUGUUAGGGGGUUUCCGCCCCUUAGUGCUGCAGCUAACGCA
rnacentral:rRNA from 1 species